AAAGUGGAUGAGCAAGAAGAAGGACUCUCAAGGGGAUGAAAGACAAUCCAAACAAUGUUUAAAUCAAUGGACUGAAGUGCUGGGGAGAUGAUGAAGCAUAAUCAGAUUUGCAAAUUUUGAGCAUCAACACUCCAAGCAAUAUGGAGGCAAUACAGGAGAGGAACCUGGUGGCAAGCACACAGAAGAGUUGGGAAACGUCUGUGAUCCAGCGGAACUUAUCUCUACUUCUUGAUGUGAAGAGCAGCGUGUGCCUACCAGGACAAAAGGAACUGAUCGUGCCAUCUUGAAGACUACCUACCAUGCCUUGGUUUUAUCGAUUCAAUACCCUAUUCAAUACCCUAUUACUUCUAUGUCUAGAUUUUCUUUUACAUCAUGUUUCGGUCUUGUGCUAUGAUGACAACAUGGACUUAUUUAUGACCAUGAGGAAAUCAUAAUGGCUAACAGAGAAGCUAGGAAACCGGAAACACUGAACUUGAAGAAUCAUGCCAUAUUUUGGUAUCCUAUCACUAAUAUAUGGUAGUCCAUUUAUAAAAAUAAAAUAAUUAUGAAAUCCUCAACACAAAUACACAGAUCUAUGUGCAAAUAAACAUAAACAAAUAGGUAUAUGAAUUAAGUGGAAAACAGCAUACGGUGAAAUAAUUUCAUGUGCAUCAUCAAUGAAAUAAAGUUGUU